CACAGUCCAUUCAUUGCAACGUAGGGUUGAGGGUCUACUGAAGAAGGCUGCGAGCAUAGAGGAUACGAUUCUUGAGGAAAAGAUCAAAGGUCUUCCCCGCAAGCAGCAGAUGUGUGUGAGACACUGCCUUAAGGCCGCUCAACGAAAAUCAACGAAGGGAAUGAUCUAUGCUCAAGAGUGGAUCUUGGAAUGCAUUAUCAUGAGGAUGAAAAGUGCACGCCUGUACAGGCACCUACGUAGAAACAAGAUCCUGCAACUCCCAUCGCCAUCAACUUUACAAAAAUAUGUCAAGGACUAUAAAAGUGGAUUUGGGUUUAACCCGAAC